rnacentral:rRNA from 3 species
UGACCCCAUGCCGAACUCAGCAGUGAAACGCCGUAGCGCCGAUGGUAGUGUGGGGUCUCCCCAUGUGAGAGUAGGGAACUGCCAGAC